rnacentral:lncRNA from 1 species
AAUCUCCUGUGCGAACCUCUUCUGUGCAGACACCUUCCCACCCAACCUCAACAGAGCCCUGUGGGCCUCCCACGCUGUGCUGUAAAUGAAAAUACAGCAGAAUCAGAUCUGUCCAAUAAAUCCUGAUUGAAGGCCAGAACUGAAAGUAUUUCUUCUGAGGCUGAGAAAAAUUCCAUCUCAAACAUUGAAAGGGUAGAAAUAGGCAGUGAAGUCCUAGUGCCUGCUCUGUUUGGCCUUUCUGGGUUAAAAACAUACUUAAAAUUGAGUGACUCUGUUGUGGAAUAAAAUCCAAACAAUCUGGGUUGAAAAAGACUGCUUAGGGGUGUGUGGGUCACAGUGAUGCUAAGGGUAUUCUUUUUUUUUUUUUUUUUUUUUUUUGAGACGGAGUCUUGCUGUUUCGCCCAGGCCAGAGUGCAGUGGCGCUGUCUUGGCUCACUGCAAGCUCUGCCUCCCAGGUUCAUGCCAUUCUCCCGCCUCAGCCUCCCGAGUAGCUGGGACUACAGGCGCUUGCCACCGCGUCCGGCUAAUUUUUUGUAUUUUUAGUAGAGACGGGGUUUCACCAUGUUCGCCAGGAUGGUCUCGAUCUCCUGACCUCGUGAUCUGCCCGCCUCGGCCUCCCAAAGUGCUGGGAUUACAGGCAUGAGCCACUGCGCCCGGCCCGCUAAGGGUAUUCUUGAUAUCCGCUGGGAUAAUGUGACCACAGGACACCUUGCUUGCUUUCUCCAAGAAUCUCAAGAAGACUACAAACCCCAAGAAGGGAGGCAUCUUGUUCAAGAUCAUGUUGGGGAUAGAAGACAGAGUGAGAAUGAGAAAGCAGAGAUGUUCAUUUGUUUUAUGAACAUUUACUUAUCUGCCAAGGUCUGUAGCCCUGGCCUUCCCUGUGAAGAGCAGCAGCCUGAACCAACGUUCAGUGGCCGGGGCUGCCGAGCCAGGACCUUACGGGGCUGCAGCCUGUGCUGACCCAGGGCCUCCACAGUGCUUUGCUUGCAGAUCCCCC